rnacentral:rRNA from 1 species
AGUGAACGCUGGCGGUAGGCCUAACACAUGCAAGUCGAACGGCAGCACAGUAAGAGCUUGCUCUUACGGGUGGCGAGUGGCGGACGGGUGAGGAAUACAUCGGAAUCUACUUUUUCGUGGGGGAUAACGUAGGGAAACUUACGCUAAUACCGCAUACGACCUACGGGUGAAAGCAGGGGAUCUUCGGACCUUGCGCGAUUGAAUGAGCCGAUGUCGGAUUAGCUAGUUGGCGGGGUAAAGGCCCACCAAGGCGACGAUCCGUAGCUAGUCUGAGAGGAUGAUCAGCCACACUGGAACUGAGACACGGUCCAGACUCCUACGGGAGGCAGCAGUGGGGAAUAUUGGACAAAGGGCGCAAGCCUGAUCCAGCCAUACCGCGUGGGUGAAGAAGGCCUUCGGGUUGUAAAGCCCUUUUGUUGGGAAAGAAAAGCAGCAGGUUAAUACCCCGCUGUUCUGACGGUACCCAAAGAAUAAGCACCGGCUAACUUCGUG